rnacentral:rRNA from 1 species
GAAGUAAAAGUCGUAACAAGGUCUCCGUUGGUGAACCAGCGGAGGGAUCAUUACCGAGUUUACAACUCCCAAACCCCUGUGAACAUACCACUUGUUGCCUCGGCGGAUCAGCCCGCUCCCGGUAAAACGGGACGGCCCGCCAGAGGACCCCUAAACUCUGUUUCUAUAUGUAACUUCUGAGUAAAACCAUAAAUAAAUCAAAACUUUCAACAACGGAUCUCUUGGUUCUGGCAUCGAUGAAGAACGCAGCAAAAUGCGAUAAGUAAUGUGAAUUGCAGAAUUCAGUGAAUCAUCGAAUCUUUGAACGCACAUUGCGCCCGCCAGUAUUCUGGCGGGCAUGCCUGUUCGAGCGUCAUUUCAACCCUCAAGCACAGCUUGGUGUUGGGACUCGCGUUAAUUCGCGUUCCUCAAAUUGAUUGGCGGUCACGUCGAGCUUCCAUAGCGUAGUAGUAAAACCCUCGUUACUGGUAAUCGUCGCGGCCACGCCGUUAAACCCCAACUUCUGAAUGUUGACCUCGGAUCAGGUAGGAAUACCCGCUGAACUUAAGCAUAUCAUAAACCCGGAGGA